rnacentral:lncRNA from 1 species
ACAUACACAAAAUUUACCAAAAAAGUAAAAGUGGCCCAAACAUGUAGUGACAUUUAUUUCCAUUAGUAAUCCAAAAAGUAAAUAUUUAGGAGUGCCUGUCGUGGCACAGUGGUUAACGAAUCCGACUAGGAACCAUGAGGUUGCGGGUUCGGUCCCUGGCCUUGCUCAGUGGGUUAACGAUCCGGCGUUGCCGUGAGCUGUGUUGUAGGUUGCAGACAUGGCUCGGAUCCUGCGUUGCUGUGGCUCUGGCGUAGGCCAGUGGCUACAGCUCCGAUUGGACCCCUAGCCUGGGAACCUCCAUAUGCCGCAGGAGUGGCCCAAAGAAAUAGCAAAAAGACAAAAAAUAAAUAAAUAAAUAAAUAAAUAUUUAAAUGAGAGUAUGUACCAUUUUUUGCCUAUCAAAAUAACAUAGUUUAACAGGAAUGAGGCUAUUAAAAUUGUCUUUGCUUUGAGGAAAUAAGCCCUCUGGUACACAGACUAUAAAACUUUAUUGGGACAAAUUUCCUGUGUGGCAAUUUGUCAGAAUCUAUCAAAUUAGAUAUCAAAAAGAAAUAUCUUCCAUUUGAUCUAAUGAUCCCAAAUCUAUGCAUUUAUACCAGAGAAACAGAGAAAUUAGCAAAGAUACACCUACCAUGUUACUCGUCAUAGUUUAUAAUGAUAAUUAUAUUAGAAACAAUCUGGAAGUCAAAAAAAUCAGGAUUGGUUAAAUAUUUUUGUGUAUGUAUAUGAAUUAUUUAAAAUUAUCCACAUCUAUAUGUACUAACACGGAAAGGGGUUUGUUGUAUUUAGAAGGAAAAACAAGUUAGAGAGCCUUGUUACAUUUUAAAUAAUACAUUGCACACAUGGAAAAGUUUCUAAGAUCACAUGCCAGUAAUGGCUAUGGCUAGUUAGUAAUACAUGUUACUUUUCUUUCUUUCUUUCCUUCCUUCCUUCCUCCCUACCUUCCUUUCUUCCCUAUAAAUAUAUAUUUAUAUUUAAUAUCCAUUCUUUAUCACACUGCCAAAAUAUUACUUAUUUAAACUUUAUAUAAAAGAAAGAUUAUAAUUCUGACAGUUUAGAAUAUUAACACUUCUUAGAUCUGAAGGGGACCUCGAGCUUGUUUAUUAUAUCCUCGUUAUUUAAACACCAGGAGUCAAAUGCUUGAGUUGUUAAACGAAUUCUCCCAAAUCGAAUUACAGGCAGAGCAAGGACAACAAUGGAUGUCUUGUGAAUCCUAAUCCAUGAUCCUCUUUCACAUCACAGUGGUAGCCCCCAAACAAUGUUUUUGGUAGAAGCUCCGUUUAAAAUAUGAUGUGUGUGCAUUCAUUAAAUGAAAAUAUGCAAAUCUCUUUGCAUGCCUUUAUUAUUUUCUAGAAAUUCACAUCUUAUGACUCUCAAUCCUUCAUUUUCUUCCAUGGAUAGUGGUAAUCUCUAAAGAAUACUUUGUAGAAAAGAAUAAAAUGAGUAUAUGUGUUUGUGAAACACACUUUGCAAGUCUACUUGCAUGCUUUUCUUUUUUUUAAAUUUGAUGUCAUAGCUUCAACCAUAAAUUCUUUGAAAUUAUUGUUAUAGCCAACAAAUUGUUGUAGAGAAAAAAAUAUGUUGCAGAGAAUUGGAGACAUGUCUUCUAACUCCAUAUAUACCAAUGUAAGGUUAGUUCUUUAGAGAUUCAUUGAUAAGUAUAAAUUGUAGGCAGUUCCUGUCAUGGCUCAGAGGUUAACAAAAUGGACUAGCAUCCAUGAGGACUCAGGUUCCAUCGCUGACCUUGUUCAGUGCAUUAAGGAUCCAGCAUUGCUGUGAGCCUUGGUGUAGGUUGCAGACGUGGCUUGGAUAUUGCACUGUUGUGGCUGUGCUGUAGCUUGGUGGCUACAGCUCCAAUUGGACCCCUAGGGUGGGAGCCUCCAUAGGUCACAGGUGCGGCCCUAAAAAGACAAAAGACAAAAAAAUAAAUAAAAUAAAACAGUAUAAAUUGUAGAUGAAUCAUGGGUAAAAACUAGGCUAAGAAUGAAUACUAAAACAGUAUUUUUCUUUAUAUAGAUUGGUCUGAUUUCUUAACAGUUUUACUCUAGAUAGAGUUAUCAUCAAUAUAGAAAUCACCAUCAACAGAGUACAUUUUUGGAAAAAAUGUAAAGCAAGUUUUAAUGAAUUUUUCAUUUUUGAAGUGGAAUCAGAAAGUUGUCAUUUUAUUGUUAGAGUUAAAAUAGUACUGUUGCCUAUAUUAAAAGUUUAUAACUAAAUUAUAUACAUUCUAAAGUCAUUGUAAUGCUUUAUUCAUUUUGUUAAAAAUCAAAGGAGGUAGAUCAAACCAGAUCUUUUUAAGAUACUUCCUUCAUAGCUGGCCAAUAUCUUAUCCUCAAUUAUGCCAUCAAUUUCCCAUUAGUAGUCACUUAGAUUUUCCUCUGAAUACUUAAGUUCUAAUUGUAAUCACUUCUAAUUGUGACUAUUUGUCUUGGGGGAAAUUACUCCUUCUUUAGAGUAAAUAUAGUCUUGACCCUUAUUGAUAAUGGUAAUAGUGUCCUUAAGAACAUGAUAUUUCAUAAUAUUUAGGUGUUUAAUGUAUAAACUAAAUAUCUAGAUGAUGUACUAUAUGACUACUCAUCUGACAUUUUAGAGAUUUUAGUGUCAUAUUUUUUACAUAUGCCUGUACUACGUGUACAUAUGUGUCCAUGUGGACACAUUUCUUAUUACCACUGGCUUUUUAAAACAAGAAAAUAUACCAUCGAAAGAGAUAAAAUUAGAUUAAUUUGGACCUGAUGUUUUUACAAAAAUUCACGUUUUAAGUUAGUAGAAGUAUUUUAAGGUACAUGCUGAUGUUUCAGUAUUAAGUUGUCCUUGUGAAUUUACACCUGAGAAAUUUAAUUCCAUCACCCUUGAGCUUCCAGAAAUGUUUCUUAGUCCCUACUGGCUUGGGAAGUUUUUCAUUAGCAGGAUUCUCAUUCUCAUUUAGGAAGAAUCCAUAAUGUUAGCCUGAUUAUCUUCAAACUGCCUGUCCUUGAGCAUGUUUCAAUGAGGUAUGGCUCUUUGCAUACAUUUGCCUAUUAUUACAUUCAUCACAUAUAAUAUUCAUCUUUUGUUAAAGGCAGAAUCAUUUUCUGGGAAGUGGAAUGAUAUGUCUAAAUGGAGAUUGAUUCAUUCAUUGAUUAAUUGAUUCAUUUAGUAAAUACCAUUCAACACCUGCUAUAGAAAGGUCGUUGACUUCAAAAAAUAACUGAUUUGGUAACCACCUGCCACAGAAUCUAAAUAUAAAGGUAGAGUGGGUGGCAGUAUAAAUGAAACAAAAUUGUCAAUCCUUGUUGAUCAUUGUUAAGUUUGGAUGAUGGGCACAUGGCAAUUCAUUAUACUGUUGUCUCUCUUUUUAAAUAUGUUUAAAAAAUAAAAAUCCUUUAUCAAGGUUUAUUUUACUCAGUUGGGCAUUUGUAUCCCAUUCCCCUAAAAAAGAAACCAUUGGAAUUUGGUUUGAUUUUUUUUUUUGGCAUUUGUUUUGUUUUGUUUUUUGUUGUUUUUGUUUUGCAGGGGGAUCCUCUUUCUGAAAUUAUAAGACCCAUUAUACACAAUUUAACAGUUUCUCCUCAGCACCAAUUUCUAAAAUUCUUUAUCCUGAAAAGAUAAUAGUAUCCACUUUUCUUCAGGUGUGGGGUCAAGAGUGAGGUUAGGAGCUUGACUGAGUUGAACUACUUGCUAGAAUCACCUCCUUCCUAUUUUAGCCUCUAGGCUAUUACAUUUAAAAGCAUUUUUUAUUAACGUAUACUUGAUUUACAGUGUUCCUUCAAUUUCUGCUGUAUGGCAAAGUGACCCAGUCAAUACAUAUAUAUAUGUAUCAUCUUCCAUCAUGUUCUAACCCAAGACCUUGCACAUAGUGUCCUUUGGUCAUGACCGUUCCCUAGUUGACUGAUACUAUUAAUUUUGUUACCAUGUUUUCUACUUUUUUGUUCACUUUGUAAUAUUUUAGGGAAAAGAGAUUCUGAUUUGCACCAUUAUUUCUCUAUCUUAAGAAUGAUCAGGCCUCAUUUUUAAUUUCUUUGAAUAAGUUCAACUCAUAAAGACAAAAUCAAAUGUUUCCUUGUAAUUAAAACAGAGAUACAUGUACACUAACUACAGAAAUUUAACAGAAACAAUGAAGGUCAAUAAUGCAGGACCUUUAGGAUCUUAUUUUCAUAAAGAUCUAUCCAGUACUUUUUUUUUCUUUUUUAAUAAUUUUUUUUUCCUCAUUAUAGCUGGUUUACAGUGUUCUAUCAGUUUUCUACUAUUCAUCAUGGUGACCUAGUUACACAUACAUGUAUAGAUUCUUUUUUCUCACAUUAUCAUGCUCCAUCACAAGUGUCUAGAUCCACUGCUUUAAAUAAGUGAUUAGAAAGCUGGCUCUUGUUUAGAGAGAGAAACUGUGAAUGUUUCAGGUGAUGAUCUCUUGGAAAGUAUUCUUAAACACAUUACCACAAAGAAAGAAGUCAUAGAUGAGUUCAAAAUACAGAUAACCUGCAUGGGAGUAAAACCACAUGCUCAAUGUGAAAUAAUGGGUGUUCCAAAAUACAGCUGACCUUUCUCUGACCUUAAGAAAGGCAAUUUGUGUCAGUGAAGAAAUGAUGACAGAACUUCAGGUAUUGCUGUUCUCAAGCAAACUGUAAGUUCUUUAGAAUCAAAGGCCUUUUAGUAUUUGCAAACGUGAAGUGGUUGUCAUGUAUACACUAUGCACUACCAUCUCUUGCACAUGGUAAGCACUGAGCUAUUUGCUGUCAUUAUCAUCAUCGCUUUUAAUAGCCUAGUCCUUUGCUGAGUAUAUGGAAAAUGCCCAGUAAAAUAAUUUUUAAGUUGAAUUUACAUGAACAAACUAGUGAUUGUUUUCAUACAAAUAAAACAGCAAAAAAAAGAUGAAAACAACAACUGAGCAUCAUACAGAAAUUAAGGGAAAUUACUAUGUAAAAAUAGAGCCUGUUGUGGGUAACAGGGAGAAUAAAGGAAAUCUGUAUUUUCUACUUAGUUUUGCUGUGAAUCUAAGGCAUUUAUUAAAAUUGCCUAUUAAAAAAUAGAAUAUGUAACUUGUGUUUUUAAUCAGUGGAUAUUUUCUACUAUAAUUUGUGUGACUUUUAAAAUGUGACUAAAAUAUAUUAGAUUGUACAUAUAUACAUAUAUAUAUACUAAAAUGAUGAAAAAUCAAAUGAAAGGUAAAAACUACUAAUUUUUAGUGUCUGCAUAUAUAUGUGUGUGUUAUAUUUUUGUUUUGUCUUACUAUAGUGUUUUCAAAUAUGUAAUUUUAAUUUGAGGUUGUAAUUAUUUUUUAAAAUGAGAAUGCAGAAAUGCAAUGAUAUAUAACAAAAGCAAUUACAGGAAAUAAAGGUUCUUAAUUCCUCUUUAAGUGAAUUAUCCCCUGUUUACUCUAUUAUUCUAUUAAGUUUGUGGAACUAUAAUACCAUAACUCUGGGAAAAAGCAUGUUCACUAAUUAAGGAUUUUCCAUCCUCAUCCCUGGUUAUCUACAGAGGGCAGCAAAGAACUUCUAUUCAAAGACCAGCAUGUUGUCUUAAAGCUUUUAAGAGUUGCUUUCUGAUUCAGCGUCAUUGGAGGCACUGUGAAACAUGACAAAAAUCAAGGUUCAGUUUGCUGAACUUACAGGAUUGUUGUUUGCUGUACAUGGAAGAGAGCAAGGGAACACACAGGUCAGAAUCAGUUAAAUUGACUGCAGUCAAGGGAAGGGAGCAAAUUAAUGCUUUCAGUAUGUCAGUCAUUUCACUAACACUGCUCCAAAGCUUGAUCCUAACAAAGAUAGUUUUUUUAAAAAAUAUUUUACUAAAAUAUUACAAGUAAGUUGUAGUCAGAUUCUCAAAAAUAUCGAUAUCAUAAAAUUGUAAACUGAUAACCAUUAAUGAGUAACAGUUUAUGGUAAAUUCUAUAGUGUUCUAAGUAAGUUUGAUUUUGACUGCUUUUCUAGUAAUUUAUUUAUGCCUUUAAUUUUAUACUUUUUGUGUUCUGAUUCUGAGAUACAGUUUACCUAGUAGGAGGUUUAUGAUGAUAUGCUCUUGAAGUCAACACUUGUGGAAUGGAGGGGAGGGAAGAAAGACUGAGCACAGAGAAAGGUCAAACUGCAGUUCAUGCCCAACCCCUAGGUCAAGGCUCUGCAGUGUCCUCUUAAAUCAGACUGAGAGGGUGAAGUCUAUAUAAUCUUACCUGGGUCAUUCAGUGCAUGUGGGCCACUUGCAGGAGAGGACAGACGCUGGGCAAGGCAACUCAGGCCAUCCCUGCUGAGGUAGCAUGGCGUUCCUUAAAGGGAUAUUUGACUGGGGCAUCCCAAUAUCCACUACAGUCAUGCACAAUAGAAACUAUGCAAAACACCUUACACAAAUGGAUGACCUUUACAUUUCGUUUGUUAUCUUUUAUAGUUUUAACUCAUUAAUUCAUGUUUAAAGGAAGCUAUUAUAUUAGCAUGUCUGGGUUAUGGUUUUAAAAUCUGGCUCUUAAUGGGUGAGAUAGGCAGUAAAUUAGAAUACUGAAUUGAAUUCUAUAUCCCAGGUUUAUAUUAAGAAAGAAAAAAAAAA